rnacentral:tRNA from 1 species
GGAGGGGACAGCUCACAUGGUAGAGUGCAUGCUUCCCAUGCAGGAGGUCCUGGGUUCAAUCCCCAGUACCUCCU